AACGAACGCUGGCGGCGCGCCUAAUACAUGCAAGUCGAGCGAGAAGACGUAGCAAUACGUUUGUAAAGCGGCGAACGGGUGAGGAAUACAUGGGUAACCUACCCUCGAGUGGGGAAUAACUAGCCGAAAGGUUAGCUAAUACCGCGUACGCUCCUUGGACUUCGGUUCAGGGAGGAAAGCGAUACCGUGGGUAUCGCGCUCAUGGAUGGGCUCAUGUCCUAUCAGCUUGUUGGGAGGUAACGGCUCACCAAGGCUUCGACGGGUAGCUGGUCUGAGAGGACGAUCAGCCACACUGGCACUGCGACACGGGCCAGACUCCUACGGGAGGCAGCAGUAAGGAAUAUUGCGCAAUGGGCGAAAGCCUGACGCAGCGACGCCGCGUGGGGGAUGAAGGUCUUCGGAUUGUAAACCCCUUUCGAUCGAGACGAACGGCCUCCGGGUGAAUAAUCCGGAGGAGUGACGGUACCGAGAGAAGAAGCCCGGC
rnacentral:rRNA from 1 species